GACGAACCGUGCGAACGUUGUUCGGAAUCACUGGGCGUAAAGAGCUCGUAGGCGGCGUGUCGCGUCGGUUGUGAAAGCCCGGGGCUAACUCCGGGUCUGCAGUCGAUACGGGCAUGCUGGAGUUCGGUGAGGGAGGACUGGAAUUCCUGGUGUGAGACGGUGGAAAUGACGCAGAUAUCAGGAGGAACACCAGUGGCGAAGGCGGUGCUCUGGGCUGGAACUGACACUGAGGGAGCGAAAGCGUGGGGAGCGAACAGGA
rnacentral:rRNA from 1 species